GAUGAACGCUGGCGGCGUGCCUAAUACAUGCAAGUCGAGCGAACAGACGAGGAGCUUGCGCCUUUGACGUUAGCGGCGGACGGGUGAGUAACACGUGGAUAACCUACUUAUAAGACUGGGAUAACUUCGGGAAACCGGAGCUAAUACCGGAUAAUAUAUCGAACCGCAUGGUUCAAUAGUGAAAGACGGUUUUGCUGUCACUUAUAGAUGGAUCCGCGCCGCAUUAGCUAGUUGGUAAGGUAACGGCUUACCAAGGCAACGAUGCGUAGCCGACCUGAGAGGGUGAUCGGCCACACUGGAACUGAGACACGGUCCAGACUCCUACGGGAGGCAGCAGUAGGGAAUCUUCCGCAAUGGGCGAAAGCCUGACGGAGCAACGCCGCGUGAGUGAUGAAGGUCUUCGGAUCGUAAAACUCUGUUAUUAGGGAAGAACAAAUGUGUAAGUAACUAUGCACGUCUUGACGGUACCUAAUCAGAAAGCCACGGCUAACUACGUG
rnacentral:rRNA from 1 species